GUUUUUUCAUGGGUACAGUUUGAGGUGAGGGACCUGCGCCCAGGAGAAGUCCCAGAGAAACCAGAUGCAACCAUGUUGGUGAAGGGAAAGGAGCUCAAUGUGACAAGGGGGUGGCAGCGGGACUUCAGGAGAGAUCUAAAGAAGGGUGAGAAAGUUCCCUGCUGGUUCAUCCACAACAGGGGUUGGGGCCUCAU